rnacentral:rRNA from 1 species
CCUACGGGAGGCAGCAGUGAGGAAUAUUGGUCAAUGGACGAGAGUCUGAACCAGCCAAGUAGCGUGAAGGAUGACUGCCCUAUGGGUUGUAAACUUCUUUUAUAAAGGAAUAAAACGAGGCACGUGUGCCUUUUUGCAUGUACUUUAUGAAUAAGGAUCGGCUAACUCCGUGCCAGCAGCCGCGGUAAUACGGAGGAUCCGAGCGUUAUCCGGAUUUAUUGGGUUUAAAGGGAGCGUAGAUGGGUUGUUAAGUCAGUGGUGAAAGUCUGUGGCUCAACCAUAGAAUUGCCGUUGAAACUGGGAUGCUUGAGUAUGUUUGAGGCAGGCGGAAUGCGUGGUGUAGCGGUGAAAUGCUUAGAGAUCACGCAGAACCCCGAUUGCGAAGGCAGCCUGCCAAGCCAUGACUGACGCUGAUGCUCGAAAGUGUGGGUAUCAAACAGGAUUAGAUACCCUUGUAGUC